AGCCAUGUAACAUCCUUCCAUGGUCCAUGAUUCCGCUUUGUUAUUGGAGUUGUGGUUUGCUGUAAUUUUCAAGGCAAUUUGUGGGACCAAAAUUAGAAAGAUAAAUGUUUACAUUCACUAAAUUGUCAUGAGUACUGACAAGGAGAAAAAGUUACCUCAUCUCCAUGGCUCUUGCUGGCAUCUCAUAGUUUUGUUGAUGAGGCUGGCUUAGUUGGAAAUGGACAGGUACAUGCAAAUCCUCUCCUAUGGUAAAUCCAUUUGGAAGAAAGGGAUUUUGGUUCACAUCACUUAAGUCGCUUGUUUCAUAAACUUGAGAUCCGAAAAUUGCUUCUUAGGUUGUCUUUGAUUCUUCAUUCUUGUAGUUGUAUCUUUGUGCUUGUAGUGCCAUGUCAGUAACAAUGAAUGUUCUCUUCAGAAAUGAAGAGAAGAGUAGCUCACCCCAGCUUGCAAAUGGGAUUUCAAUACGCUGCAAUCCAUGCACCAGAGUGCAUUAAUGGAUUUCUUUCUGGGAUCUAUCUUACAACAAUUUCAGUGGAGAUUUGCCAGUCUCAUUCAGUAAUUUGACAAAUCUUAACAUUCUGAAAGCUCUCUUUACAAAUAUCAUGUGGAUGAACUUAUUUGUUCAGGCAAGUAUCUUUUUUCUCUUAUACCUUAUGAAAACCUCAGAGAAUUAAAUGAUUGUAAUUAUAUUGUAAUUGGAGAUUGAUUGAAAAUGAAACUCCUUAUGAAAAUUACCACAGAAUAAACUGAAACUCAUCCUCGCAUCUCGGGUCUCUGUUUUUCUUUAUGUGCCUAGUUUUCCUCUCCUCUUCUCUAAAAAGGAUCCUUGUACAACUGUUUGUUAACCCAAUUCAUGAAACCACCUCUUUCAGAUUUCAGUCCUAUAGUCUUUUAGUCUAGAAUCAACUUCAUACACUUUGGUAAUAACAACAAUCUGAAAUAUGCUAAUGAUGGAAAUUAUCUUAAUUGCCAUAAAAUUAGGGAAAGCUACACGUCCUCUUCAAAAUUUUGAAAAAUGUCGCUAUCACCAUCCUUCUAAAAAGAAAUUAAAAUUCCAACCAAGCUGAAAUUAGAAGCUGAG